UACGAAGGGGGGCUAGCGUUGCUCGGAAUCACUGGGCGUAAAGCGCACGUAGGCGGACUCUUAAGUCGGUGGUGAAAUCCUGGAGCUCAACUCCAGAACUGCCUUUGAUACUGGAAAGCUUGAGUUCGGGAGAGGUGAGUGGAACUGCGAGUGUAGAGGUGAAAUUCGUAGAUAUUCGCAAGAACACCAGUGGCGAAGGCGGCUCACUGGCCCGAUACUGACGCUGAGGUGCGAAAGCGUGGGGAGCAAACA
rnacentral:rRNA from 1 species